rnacentral:rRNA from 1 species
UACAUGCAAGUCGAACGGUAAGUAUGGUAGUAAUAUUAUACGAGAGUGACGUACGGGUGCGUAACACGUAUGCAACCUACCCUUUACAGGCGGAUAGCUCGGGGAAACUCGAAUUAACCCGUCAUAAUAUAAUUGGAUGGCAUCAUUUGAUUAUUAAAACUCCGGUGGUUUUGGAUGGGCAUGCGUCUGAUUAGUUAGUUGGCGGGGUAACGGCCCACCAAGACGAUGAUCAGUAGGGGAACUGAGAGGUUGAUCCCCCACACUGGCACUGAGAUACGGGCCAGACUCCUACGGGAGGCAGCAGUAGGGAAUAUUGGUCAAUGGGUGCAAGCCUGAACCAGCCAUGCCGCGUGCAGGAAGAAGGCGUUAUGCGUUGUAAACUGCUUUUGCCAGGGGAUAAAAUUUCCUUGCGAGGAACAUUGAAGGUACCCGGUGAAUAAGCCACGGCUAACUACGUGCCAGCAGCCGCGGUAAUACGUAGGUGGCAAGCGUUGUCCGGAUUUAUUGGGUUUAAAGGGUGCGUAGGCGGCCCUGUAAGUCAGUGGUGAAAUACUCUAGCUUAACUAGAGGGGUGCCAUUGAUACUGCAGGGCUUGAGUGGAGUCGAAGUAGGCGGAAUUGACGGUGUAGCGGUGAAAUGCUUAGAUAUCGUCAAGAACACCGAUAGUGAAGACAGUUUACUAGGCUUCUACUGACGCUGAGGCACGAAAGUGUGGGGAUCAAACAGGAUUAGAUACCCUGGUAGUCCACACUGUAAACGUUGAUUACUCGCUGUUGGCGAUACACAGCCAGCGGCCAAGCGCAAGCGAUAAGUAAUCCACCUGGGGAGUACGCCGGCAACGGUGAAACUCAAACGAAUUGACGG